rnacentral:lncRNA from 1 species
UUUAGAGAGAGAAAGUCGGUCAUGAGAGAGAAAGUAGAGAGAGAAAGUGGAGAGAGAAUCUUCGUAUCCUUCAAAAGUGGCAAUCAUGAUUGAGAUCAUCAGAGGUUAUAUCAGGAUGACUUAAUAUGGAUUUACCAUGAUCGAUGUUAUCAAUUUCGAAGAAGGAUCGGAUCAGGAUCUAAUCUACUGUACGAAUUUCGGAGCAGUCUCAGAUCAUCAUAUUUUCAUCUCAAAUUUAUCCUACGAUCUGUGAUGCAAUCAGAGAGAGAAUGACCCUAGAGAGACGAAAUCCAUAAAAAGAGAUAAAAGAUCUAGAGAGAGAAAAUAGGAAGAAAAUUUAGAGAGAGAAAAUAGAGAGAAGGUAG